UGUAGGGCUAAAAGCCAUGGGCUACAGUGAGGGGCAAGCUCCUGCACAGCUGCACCUUCCACAGGACCAGCCACCGAGGCGCAGGAGCAGGAGGUCUGCCGGAGGAGGGCUCGGCAGGGGAUCUGGCAGUGCUGGGUCUGGGGCGCAGCCACGUGACCUUGACCACAUCACUUCCCCUUUCGGAACCUGGCCCUUUACUCUGAAAUGAGGAGUCUGGGCUGGUGAUUCCUAAGGAAGGAGACAUUCAGGGUUUGCUGAGGCCUUGGCUCCCCCUUGCCACGUUUAAGAGGCCUGCACACAUCAAGGUCAAGAUCUGAAGGCUGGAGUUAGGGGCAUGAAGCUGCGAAGACCUGGGCUUUUGCUUAGUGCCUCCAGUGACUGCCUCUGCUUUCUGGCCUCAUUUCUCCCUUCUCUUGAUCAGCUCAGAAUCCUCAGCCUUCGGGGUGAAGAGACCUUAGUGGCUGAAACAGAAGCCAGUUGGAGGGGGGUCAGGAGUGAAUGAAGCAAAGCAGUGUCUCCUCUCCUCCCAGGGCCCCAUCUCCAAACAGGAAAGUUGACUUGGAGCAGUACUCCCUUCCUACCCAGGAAGGGGCCAGCACUGCGGAAGGAGUCAGGUGAUCUGUCCCUAAGGUGUACCUCUGUAAUGCCCCAGCAAAGCGAGGCACCCAGGGAUUGCCAAGUCAAGUCAGCGACUCUGACGGUGGG
rnacentral:lncRNA from 1 species